rnacentral:rRNA from 1 species
UUCCGGUUGAUCCUGCCGGACCUGACUGCUAUCGGAUUGAUACUAAGCCAUGUGAGUCAUUGUAGUAAUACAAGGCAGACGGCUCAGUAACACGUAGCCAAUCUAACCUAUGGACGGGGAUAACCUCGGGAAACUGAGAGUAAACCCCGAUAGAUCAUAAUGCCUGGAACGGUUUAUGGUCCAAAUGAUUCGUCGCCGUAGGAUGAGACUGCGGCUUAUCAGCUUGUUGGUGAGGUAAUGGCCCACCAAGGCUAUUACAGGUACGGGCUCUGAGAGGAGAAGCCCGGAGAUGGGUACUGAGACACGGACCCAGGCCCUAUGGGGCGCAGCAGGCGAGAAACCUUUGCAAUGUGCGCAAGCACGACAAGGUUAAUCCGAGUGUUUCCUGCUUAAGGAAUCUUUUGCUAGUCCUAAAAACACUAGUGAAUAAGGGGUGGGCAAGUUCUGGUGUCAGCCGCCGCGGUAAAACCAGCACCUCAAGUGGUCAGGAGGAUUAUUGGGCCUAAAGCAUCCGUAGCUUGCUUUGUAAGUUUCCGGUUAAAUCCAUUAGCUCAACUAAUGGCCUGCCGGAAAUACUGCAGAACUAGGAAGUGGGAGAGGUAGACGGUACUCGGUAGGAAGGGGUAAAAUCCUUUGAUCUAUUGAUGACCACCUGUGGCGAAGGCGGUCUACCAGAACACGUUCGACAGUGAGGGAUGAAAGCUGGGGGAGCAAACCGGAUUAGAUACCCGGGUAGUCCCAGCCGUAAACGAUGCAG